GGCGCGAUGGCGGAGUGGUUAUCGCGCAAGACUAGAAAUCUUGUUCCUUCGGGAGCGCAGGUUCGAAUCCUGCUCGCGUCG